rnacentral:ncRNA from 1 species
AUAGAUCAACACGGGAAACCUCACCCGGCCCGGACACGGACAGGAUUGACAGAUUGAUAGCUCUUUCUCGAUUCCGUGGGUGGUGGUGCAUGGCCGUUCUUAGUUGGUGGAGCGAUUUGUCUGGUUAAUUCCGAUAACGAACGAGACUCUGGCAUGCUAACUAGUUACGCGACCCCCGAGCCUGGAUUGGAAAAAUGUGGCACAUAUACACCAUGGAAUAUUAUGCAGCAAUCAGAAAUGAUGAGUUUGUGCCGUUUGUAGGGACAUGGAUGAAUCUGGAAAACAUCAUCCUCAGCAAACUGACACAAGAACAGAAAAUGAAACACUGCAUAUCCUCA